GGCGGACUUCCCAAUACCACCAACAUCACCGCCACCAGUAACAACAACAAAUCUUCAUCCUCGUCCUCCGGUGGUGGAGAAAAGAACCAGCCUCCGCCGCCAUCUCCGGCUCUGGGAGGGUUCGGGAGCUCAUUCUUCGGAGACGCCGACGCCAACAACGGCAGCAACAAUCUUCAUGACCUGAUGAACUCCUUCUCCUCGCCGGGGAAUAACAGCUCAUCCAUCUUCAGCAGCAACAACAACAGCAGCAGCAAGUUAUUGAGCGGUACAUCAGCAGGCUCGGACAGGUUGACGAGAGAUUUCCUCGGAGUUGGACACGUGGCGGCCUCAAGAGGCAUCGCUACAAAUUUAACCACCGGAGGCUUCUCGUCGCAGCCACAUCAGCAGCAGCUGCAGCAGCUUGGAGGAGUUGUGGAGCGGAGCUCGUCGUUGGAUUCAGAAAGGAAUAAUAACAAUAACAGCAGCAUGGGGAGUCAUUCUUCUUUCGGGGGCAACCCUAACUUUCAAUGAGAGU
rnacentral:lncRNA from 1 species